rnacentral:sRNA from 3 species
AUAUUUCACAGCCUGGCGGGGAUGAGAAGCCCGGACCGGGUUCGACUACUGGCGCAGCGAGUUGGACAGACUGAGCGCACAGCGAACAGGCUGCCCGCAGGGCGAGCGAAGCGAGUCAAUCCCCGCCUCACCGCCA